CCAGCUGGCUGGGCGGCCGCACCCGCAAACGCCGAAAGGUCGUGGGUGAGGAAAGUCCGGGCUCCAUGGAAACACGGUGCCGGUUAAUGGCCGGCGGGGGCGACCCCAGGGAAAGUGCCACAGAAAGCAAACCGCCACGAUCCGGCUUGCCGGAUUCGGGGUAAGGGUGAAAGGGUGGGGUAAGAGCCCACCGCGCGACUGGCAACAGGAGCGGCACGGUAAACCCCACCGGGAGCAAGACCGAAUAGGGACGGUGCGAGGGGAAAACCCUCGAGGGCUGUUUCCGGCUCACCGUCCGGGUAGGUUGCGUGAGGCACAUGGCAACAUGCGCCCAAGAUGAAUGGCCGCCACGUUCUCGCCCCGCAAGGGGCGAGGGCCAUACCGAACCCGGCUUACAGGCCAGCUGGCAAC
rnacentral:RNase_P_RNA from 1 species